ACGUCUUGCCGGAAAGGGCGGGGUUGCUGCCUGAGCUAGAGAGAGCCGCGUGGCGGGCGGGCGCGCUUUUUCUAGUUGCGGAGGGGCGGCAGUAGCCGCUCGUCGUGGUGGUGGUGGGAGGAGCGGGAGCGAGGUUUCCUGCGCGCCGGAGACUGGGCCCCGUCUCGCUCCCAGCCACGGGGCUACAUUCUUCUGGCGCUCUGCUUGGCGCGCGCGCUCCCGCCCGGCCGGGGCCUGUCUUCUCAGAGGAGAACAUGGCCCCGGGGGAAGGGGGGCGCCGGUGGCGCGACCAGAGGCGGUGGGCGAGGGGGCCGCCACCGCCUUUCCGGUAACGUGGCUCAUUGUGUCCCUGCAGGUGGGGACCGGACCGCAGCGGAGCCGCAGCCGGGGGGAGCGGGAUGCAGCAGGAACCUUGCAGACCCAGAGCAGCCAGCAGUUGCCAGGACAAACAUUCCUAAGUUGUGAGGACUUCGAAGAAGGUGGGAUAAACAACACAGCCAGACUUGUAGAAACUUGAAGUAAAACAAGUUUGCUCAAGGGCCAUUUAAAAAAAAACAAAACCCUUUUGAUUGCUGGUUGAAAGGAGAGCCAGCAGUGAAAAUUGUACUAUUUGCUUUUGAAAGUGGUGCAACAUAACCCAACCCAAGAAAGGCUGCAGUCAGCCAGCAACAUGAGCAAGUGUUAAAAGACCUGUCUAAUAAAUGCUAAAAUCUGGUUUGGAUGUGGGUUGAAAAUUGGAGUUUUUUGGAUGGGUCCUAAAAACUUGAGAUGACAUUUGGUUCAGGAAGACUGUGCUUUAAGAGUCUUUUCAUAGUUCCACACACAGCCUCCUGGAAGCUGCAGUUCACUGCCUUUAGACUUCCAUGCCAGCUGACUUGAUGCGGCAGUGUGGCUGGCAGUCCAGCAACUAAGAGGGUAGUUAGCACAAAAGCAAAAGAGUUUCUAAAGCUCCUGCUUCUGCUGCAAAAAUCAUCUUCUCCCUUCGUCCCCUUUAAAUAUGUAUAUACAGAACAUGUAACUUAGGUUUAGGGAGAAAUUAAAACUUUAAAAUUUUUAUUUCUUUCUCCUGUAAAAAAACUAAUUCUAAAAGUGACUUAAUUUUACAGCACCCCUAAAUUCUUGUUGAAUUGAUUCUGCUGACUAUUUAUAAUCCAAAUAUUGGCCAAAUAACUUGAGAUCAUGUGCUGCAUUUGUUAGAGGUGAAACUAGAAAGAAUAAAGGAAACUGCCACUCUUCAGAACAGCCACAAUUCUUCUCAGAAAUUAAUAGUCCUUGCUAACUAUAGCAGGAGAACCACACCACUACAGGUAUUUAAAGUAUUAUAUUCACAAAAGUUCUAGGCCAUUUGAAUAAAAUGCACUGAUUACACAA